UUUGUUCUUGAAUUAUUAUAUCUCUACAUUGGUGUGGUGGUGUUGUAUCCAACCUUUAACCAGCGAUCCUCUUCGAGUCGAGGUUAGUAAUACCUUCGUAAAACUGUUAAAACGGAUGGCGACUUCCGUUUACCCUUAAACGGAUAUUGACAUCCGUUGACGGAUUCCCACAUCCGUUUAAGCGUUUUCUAGAUUAUUUUAGAUUAUGUUUUUGUUAGUUUUAUUUUUUAAGAUUUGUUUUUAUUACUUUUAUUUUUUAAGAUUUGUUUUUAUUAGUUUCAUUUUUUUAGGAUUUGUUUUUAUUAGUUUUAUUUUUUUAAGAUU
rnacentral:lncRNA from 1 species